rnacentral:rRNA from 1 species
AUUGAACGCUGGCGGCAUGCCUUACACAUGCAAGUCGAACGGCAGCACGGACUUCGGUCUGGUGGCGAGUGGCGAACGGGUGAGUAAUACAUCGGAACGUGCCCAGUCGUGGGGGAUAACGUAGCGAAAGCUACGCUAAUACCGCAUACGAUCUACGGAUGAAAGCGGGGGAUCGCAAGACCUCGCGCGAUUGGAGCGGCCGAUGGCAGAUUAGGUAGUUGGUAGGGUAAAGGCCUACCAAGCCGACGAUCUGUAGCUGGUCUGAGAGGAUGAUCAGCCACACUGGGACUGAGACACGGCCCAGACUCCUACGGGAGGCAGCAGUGGGGAAUUUUGGACAAUGGGCGCAAGCCUGAUCCAGCCAUUCCGCGUGCAGGAUGAAGGCCUUCGGGUUGUAAACUGCUUUUGUACAGAACGAAAAGGCUCUGGUUAAUACCUGGGGCUCAUGACGGUACUGUAAGAAUAAGCACCGGCUAACUACGUGCCAGCCGCCGCAGUAA